ACCAACAUACCGAAACUCACAAAAAACCAACAUACCAAAACUCACAAAAAACCAACUUACCAAAGCCCACAUUUAUGUAACAAGUGAGUUUUUUCUGUGUUUAACUCAGUUUUAACCAAGUUGGUAAAAAUACCCACUUUAAACACAGAAAAAACCAACUUACCAAAACUCGCAAAAAACCAACAUACCGAAACUCACAAAAAACCAACUUACCAAAACUCACAAAAAACCAACUUACCAAAGCCCACAUUUAUGUAACAAGUGAGUUUUUUCUGUGUUUAACUCAGUUUCAACCAAGUUGGUAAAAAUACCCACUUUAAACACAGAAAAAAACAACUUACCAAAACUCACAAAAACCAACAUACCAAAACCCACUAAAAACCAACUGCCAAUACCGCUUGGUUUAACACGGAUAAAACUCGUGUUUAACUCGAGUUUUACACACUUAUUUGGGAAGGGUCUUUGACUAUAAACCGACGUUAAUCAGAACUCAAACUCGGCCCUAAGCAAUAUGAGCGAGGCCAACAUGUCAUCUCAGCGUCUUGAGCUUCAGCAAACAUUGUUAGCUAGCAAGAAAAACGUCGUUGUAGUGAAUGUUGCUGACAAUUGCAACCCUCUUCUCACACAACUACUACAACUCGCUCAAGAAAUUCAGCAUGAAGACGUCUUGUCUAUGAAAAUGUGCUCACAAGGCGGCUACAUCAACACUCCCAAAAGCGGAGCCUUGGUGAGUUCGACUUCCGUCCCAGCAUUGAUGUCGCUUAGCAACGACAAAUUGUUCCAAACGAGUCGCUGUGAUGGAAACGAUAUGAGAUAGAGCAGGCGUUGAGUGACUCGUCCGUAAAUGUGACUGACCUGGAUAUGUUGCUCUCGAAUUAUGUGAACCUUAUGCCAGCUGUUAAGCCUGCAAUUGACUCCAUUCAACAACAGCUAUUGUCAGGCAUUCCCGGGUUUACGGUGGCGACUUUGGCGUAAGCUCCAUCUCUGUGUAUGGCCCGGUUGCAGCAGCAGCAACUAGAACAACAAGUAGUAUCUGAGCGGUGCUCUGGGAUAUGGGGCUUAAUGUAUGUGCUUAAAGUGUCAUCCCAGAUAAGCUUGUGCAGACUGCACAUACAUUGAGUCCUAUUUGCCCAGAACGACGCUCACAUAAUUCACUUAACUUCAGUCCUUUUUCUGCCGGAUUGAGUUAAAGAUCAUAGCAUCAAAUGGGAAUUCUAUGUUUUUAAAUUAAAUAGCAAAUAAAAGAAGACCUCAUAUCAGUUUUUAUCAUAGAAGGUCAGGACAUAGUUUUGUCUAUUGUUCAGCCAAAGUUGAGCCACUGAAACAAAAGUUUUUCAUUGCAUAAAAAAAUUGUAUUUAAUUUUAGUUAAACAAUUAUUUAAAUGGCUUCAGCACAUUAUAAAAGUAUUAUCUUCAUUUAUUUUCAAUAUUUAUUUUAAUUCCUGGAUUUUGUCUUAAGAGCAGGUUCCUACAGGAUCCUGUGCACUCAUAGAUAGGUAGCCAGCUGAACAACAGGCUCUAUGGUCGGCUGGGCCCAAACGCCCAGUGACACUUCCUGGCCUAGGACUUUGGGAAAAAUGCUCAACGAGUUCUACCCGCAGGUUGCAGCCACUCUAAACCUGGGGUUCCAAACUUUCCUGCCCAGUGUUCGAGAUUACCUCAUCAACAAGCUGCCUUGAGCACAAAGUAUUCAAAGUAAGCAGUUGUGAUCACCCUACAUCAGAGAUCGUGCGGUGUGCUGCAUCAACGUUUAGCUCGUUGCCAAUUUAGAGGCCUGAUUUUAAUUGAAUCUUGCUGAACUUUGUGUACUGAAAUUACUCAAUUGUGUGAAACCUUUGAACUGUGGGUCAUGGGUCGCCCCAAACCGUUCAGUGCCAAGGGAUAAAAUCCUCCACCGUGACCUUGACCGUGCACCAUCACUCAACAGGGGAUCAGGUUAAAGGUCACAUGGGCUUGGGUGGUCAUGUUAGUAAGAAAGUAAACCCGGAAAGCCAAGCGUUGAGUUUGUUCUUGAAGCAUUUGCACCAGCAGCAGUCAUCAUCUUGAGAUUCUUGCAUCUCCAGCAAACCUCAGAUGCUAUUUGACGAAAUCAGACCAUCCAAUCAGAAACACAGCCGGUAGCAGUAGCUGUUACCAUAUUGACCCCAUUCAAACCUAAGAAGCUCAGAGAUAAAUACUGUUUUAGAUGUGCUAGACUCUACAUACCUCCUGGUUGUUCAGCACUUACUCUGACUCUUUGAAUUUUAUGACGGGUGUAAAUGAAUGACCUUGUUCAGAUCGAAAUGGCAGAAUGACAUAUCACAACAAUUCAGGAGGAAAGCCAGAAAGUCAUGUCAACAGCCACAUUUCUUAUAUGACUAGCCAAGUUGUAUUCAAUGUAAAACACUAGUUUAUGUUUUAUGGUAAUUAUGACGCUGUCAGUGAUUUGAUGUGGAAAGUUUUGGUAAAAUAUAGAACGUAAAUCGUAAGCACACAUAUUACAAGUCUAUUCAAUGUCUUUCUCUGUAUUAUAAAACUUUCACUACAGAUUUUAAUCCUGAUAAUGAUACAAUUUUGUCAAAGCUGUUUAAAUGAUGCUGGUAACUUGGACAAAAUUGAAAAAAUAUUGAAGUAUUGUCCUGUAAUGAAACAUGUUCAUGUUUUCUGUUUUUACCAAUAAUAUAGAUGUGCUAAUUAAAAGAAUUCUUCAGAAAGGCUGAGAGUUAUGACACAUCAGCUUUGUCUGUCUAUCAAUCUUUCUGAAAACAAUCCUAGUCAAUUUGCUCACCCGGGCCAGUAAUCAAUCAAGAAUCUUGUUUAGUAGCAUACUAUUUCAUGGGAAUAUAAAUAAAUUCUGGGAAAAAUCAUUCAAUCUACCUAACAUUAUCAAUUCUGUAUUUACUACCAGUACUUUGUUGAUUUAAAUGGCUAUGGUUUGUUAAAUAAUUAGAGUAUGACUCUAUUGAUGAAUUGUGUUGUUAGAUCAUAGACUUACAUUCUCAUACGUGCUAAAAUUUGUUUUGUUAUGCUGUAUAUAUAUUCAUUUAUACACAUUUAGACAAAUUUAGACAUCCAGAUUGUAUUCUCGGGAAUCAGUGAGUAACUUAACCCAUAUUUCAUGAUCACAGAAUGAAGGUAUAUUUUGGUAUUUAUAGAUAAAGCAACUGCAAAACAGUUGUAUUUUCGAUGUAAAUUAUUCAUUUAUUGUUGCCAUUUUUAUGAGAAAAACUGUUUUCAUUCAUUUGUACAACCAUUGUUAUAACAUUGUUAGUUUGAAUGCAUAUAUGUAUUAAACUGUUUAAGUAAUGAAGUGUAACAGAUUCUUAAGAUAAAAAUAUACUUAAGGCAAUAGAAAAACCUUGUUAUAUGCAAAGCUUUUCAUUCCACAUGACCAGAUAAUGAGUAGCAAAAUCCUCACAUGCUCCUAUGUUAAAUGUCAAGGUUGUAGUUCAAGU